rnacentral:misc_RNA from 1 species
AUGGUUUUAUUCCAAAGCUGUGUCAACUGGCACAACAAAUAGGAGAGGAAGAAAGUGCUAUAAAGCUCCGCACAGUUGGCCUGAAAGCACUUUCUGCAAUGGUUUGGUUCAUGGGCGAAUAUUUCCAUGUUUCAGCGGAAUUUGACAAUAUUGUUUCAGUAGUCUUGGAAAAUUAUCCAAGGCCAAGAAAGGAAACUCCAGACUCAAACCAGAACAGGGAGGAUGACGAAAACCCAGCAUUUUGGUCUAAGGCGUGCCUGCAUAACAUGGCCAAGCUAGGUAAGGAGGCUACAACCACAAGGCGAGUUUUGGAAUCUUUAUUCCGCUACUUUGACGACGACAAUUUAUGGCCUACUGAAAAUGGAAUUGCUGUACCUAUUCUAAAGGAUAUGCAGUACACGAUGGAUGCUUCAGGAGAGA